ACUAAAUAUCGCUCGUCAGGUGCGGAUUUUACGAUCCGUGAAAAGGGAAACGGGUGAAACGCCCGUGCGGUCCCGCCGCUGUAUGGGACGAGCUGCGCAGCAUCAUGCCGCCGGUAUACCGGGAAGGCGCUGCGCCGCGACGACUCCCGAGCCAGAAGACCUGCCUGACGGCAAACACCGCA
rnacentral:ncRNA from 2 species